AAAUACUGGCUCUGUGAUGGCGACGAUGAUUGUGAGGACAAGACAGACGAACAGGACUAACACACACACACACACACACACAGAGUGCAGUAACGACAAGUUCCUUUGUGAUAACACCAAAUGCAUCCCGAAAGUCUGGCUCUGUGAUGGCGAAGAGGAUUGUGAGGACAAGACAGACGAACAGGACUGUUCAGAGCGCUGCCGGCACUGGGAGUUCAGGUGCCGGGAUGGUUCGUGUAUCAACCAACGAUUACGCUGCAACGGCCGCCGAGACUGCCGCGAUGGCUCCGACGAGUGGCAAUGCAGACGACAUUAGCCAUGGCACCAUGGGCGGAACAGAUUUACGGAGGCCGAUCC